GGUGUGGUGGCAGGUGCCUAUAGUUCUAGCUACUCAGGGAGCUGAGGCAGGAGACUCACUUGAACCCUGGAGGUGGAGGUUGCAGUGAGCUGAGAUUAUGCCACUGCACUCCAGCCUGGGCAACAGAGUGAGAGUCUCAAAAAAAAAAAAAAAACUUUUUAAUUUUUCCUAAUACCUCGGCUGCUAUUCAUUCAACAAUUACUUUUUAAGUACCUACCAUAUUCUGGACAUCUUCUAGGCAUGGGGAAACAGCAGGGAACAAAACAGACAAAAAUUCUGCACUGUCACACUGACAUUAUGGUAGAGAAAACAAAAAGAAACAAGAAAAUGAAUGAAAUACUAGUAUAUUAGAAGGUGAUAAAUGCUAUGGAAGAAAAUAAAGAGCAGGAAAGGAAGACAAGAAGUGCUGGUGGAGGGAGUUUGCAGUGGGGCGGGGGUUGCCAUUAAGGUAGAGGAGCCAGGGAAGGCACCACUGGGAAGGUGACAUUGAAGCAAAGACUUGAAGAGGUUAGAGAAUCAGCUGUGUCGGCAUGUGGGGGAGAGGAGUCCAGGUGUAGAAACCACUCACCAAGGGAAACCUCCGGCAGGAGGACUGUGUGAGGUCUGUUCAGAGAACAGCAAGGAGACCAGCCUGGUAGGUAGGACACUGAGACCACUCUUUACACCCAGGAAGAACUGGCUUUUCCUGUUAGCUCGUUUGGUUAAUUGUCUUGCUUAGGAGGUCAAGGUCACAGGUGUGACUUUUGUUUUGAGACUUUUGUUUUCCAACAAAAGUCAUCUUGCAAGGACAGAAGAGAUGGUCACAUUAAUAGAUUAAUUAUCACAAAUCUGUCCUUGGAGCUGGUCUGGAGCCUGACUCUACAGUCAACUACCUAUUUACACUUACACAUAUCAUCACCCUUUCUAAGCCUCAGUUUUCUCCUUUGAAAAUGGGGGACCCACUUAGUAAUACCCUAUGAGAUUGGACUUAUGUAUUGUAUAAAGCACUCUGUAACUGUGAUCUGCUGUAGAAAGUUUUCAUUGUUGUUAUUAUUAUACCCUAAAAGUAACUCAGGGUCUAUGUCCAGCUCAUGUUGGGUCUGUAAAGCCAUUUUAGUAGACAAAGCUCAUUUCUUAGCUCUGUUUGCUAGGUUGCAGAGACGAUUUUUACUUAUGUGUUAUAGCAAUCUUAUUAUUUUGGGUGGGAAAAGAUUUCAUGAGGGAUUUUUACUUAUUCUUAGUACUUUACUCUGAAAUUUCUACUAUAAGCACAUAGUAUUUUUAUAAUUAGAACAACAAGCAAAAAUAUUAACAAUAUCAUUUCUCCUUAGAAAAGCUGCAUGUGAUUCAGUUCCUCUUACUUAUCCCUUUAAGUGCAGCAUUUCCUGGGGUGGUGCCUGGUUGACAGCUGCACAUGUAAGGACUAGAAGCAAAGAAAACCAUAACCAAUUAACAUUACAGUGGGAACUGAGGCGUGGAGAAUGGAAAUGCCUCCACAGAAACGUGUUAUUACUAACUUUUUUUUUCCAUCAUGGGACAGGUGUUUAAGGGAAUGCACUAAAUUUGCUCCAGAUAAUUUAUUUUUAAAAAAAUACUAUGAUUAUUGCAUUUUUCUGCUUCUCCUUUCAUGGGAACUUUUAACAUGGGAACUAUUUGGUAAUGGAUGUUGCAUUUUAGGUCUUUUAAAUCUAUUUAAUGGAGGCCCUACUGUGUGCCACCACUGGUGAGACAAGGGGUUAUCUGCCAUUGUGUCUCAAAAGGGAAUGGGGCAGCAUCCCUCACUAGGGGCUUUGCAAAUGUUUGGGGGAGUUUUUGAUUGUCAACAUGACUGAAGGAAAGGUGCUGUUGAUUUAGCGGGUGAGGGCCAG
rnacentral:lncRNA from 10 species